rnacentral:lncRNA from 1 species
CCCGCGCUCAGACGCCCCAGCUCCGCCGAGAGGCCGCUCGCGACAGGUCCUUCCUCUUCCCCAAGUGCAGGCAGAGCCCCCGGAGCCACUGCCAGCCCUUCCCGCAGCUCCGAAACCACUGGCAAGCCCCGAGGCAGGGAUGGCCCUCCCAGGAGGGAGGAGGACGACGUCCCUCCCGAGGAGAAGAGGCUGCGGCUGUUGCUGGAGGGGGGAAGCGCACAGCCCGGCGACUGCGAGGACGGGGAGGACGCGCCGCGGCCGGGCAGGGAGGAGACCGGCACCCAGACAGGUGGCGACGGCAGAGGAAGGGAAAUGGGAAUCGCAUGACCUGAAGGAUGAUGGAGGAACUGAACAGAA